rnacentral:lncRNA from 1 species
UCUGUCUAUUUCUCCUGCAGAGUGAGCUGGACUUGGAAAAGGGCUUGGAGAUGAGAAAAUGGGUCCUGUCGGGAAUCCUGGCUAGCGAGGAGACUUCCUGCUUCUCUGCACCAAGCUCAAGAAGCAGAGCGGAGGAAAACGCAGCAGUAUGACUGCAAAUGGUACAUUCCGCUCACGGAUCUCAGCUUCCAGAUGGUGGAUGAACUGGAGGCA